rnacentral:rRNA from 1 species
UACGGAGGUGGCAAGCGUUGCUCGGAAUCACUGGGCGUAAAGGGUGCGUAGGCGGGUCUUUAAGUCAGGGGUGAAAUCCUGGAGCUCAACUCCAGAACUGCCUUUGAUACUGAAGAUCUUGAGUUCGGGAGAGGUGAGUGGAACUGCGAGUGUAGAGGUGAAAUUCGUAGAUAUUCGCAAGAACACCAGUGGCGAAGGCGGCUCACUGGCCCGAUACUGACGCUGAGGCACGAAAGCGUGGAGAGCAAACAGG